rnacentral:tRNA from 1 species
GCCGAGGUAGCUCAGUUGGUAGAGCGCCUGACGGUUAAUCAGGUAGCCGCAGGUUCGAGUCCUGCCCUCGGCG